GACGAACGCUGGCGGCGUGCUUAACACAUGCAAGUCGAACGGUAAGGCCCUUCGGGGUACACGAGUGGCGAACGGGUGAGUAACACGUGGGUGAUCUGCCCUGCACUUCGGGAUAAGCCUGGGAAACUGGGUCUAAUACCGGAUAGGACCACUGCCUGCAUGGGUGGUGGUGGAAAGCUUUUGCGGUGUGGGAUGGGCCCGCGGCCUAUCAGCUUGUUGGUGGGGUGAUGGCCUACCAAGGCGACGACGGGUAGCCGGCCUGGGAGGGUGACCGGCCACACUGGGACUGAGAUACGGCCCAGACUCCUACGGGAGGCAGCAGUGGGGAAUACUGCAGAAUGGGCGCAAGCCUGAUGCAGCGACGCCGCGUGGGGGAUGACGGCCUUCGGGUUGUAAACCUCUUGCAGCACCGACGAAGCGCAAGUGACGGUAGGUGCAGAAGAAGGACCGGCCAACUACGUACCAGCCGCCGCGGUAA
rnacentral:rRNA from 1 species